CUGGCUCAGGAUGAACGCUGGCGGUAUGCUUAACACAUGCAAGUCGAACGGAAUCUUUAGGGAUUUAGUGGCGGACGGGUGAGUAACGCGUAAGAAUCUACCUUCAGGUUGGGGACAACCACUGGAAACGGUGGCUAAUACCGAAUGUGCCGAGAGGUGAAAGGCUUGCUGCCUGAAGAAGAGCUUGCGUCUGAUUAGCUAGUUGGUGGGGUAAGAGCCUACCAAGGCGACGAUCAGUAGCUGGUCUGAGAGGAUGAUCAGCCACACUGGGACUGGGACACGGCCCAGACUCCUACGGGAGGCAGCAGUGGGGAAUUUUCCGCAAUGGGCGAAAGCCUGACGGAGCAAUACCGCGUGAGGGAGGAAGGCUCUUGGGUUGUAAACCUCUUUUCUCAGGGAAGAAAAAAAUGACGGUACCUGAGGAAUAAGCAUCGGCUAACUCCGUGCCAGCAGCCGCGGUAAUACGGAGGAUGCAAGCGUUAUCCGGAAUGAUUGGGCGUAAAGGGUCCGCAGGUGGCAUUGUAUGUCUGCUGUUAAAGAGUCUGGCUCAACCAGAUCAAAGCAGUGGAAACUACAAAGCUAGAGUAUGGUCGGGGCAGAGGGAAUUCCUGGUGUAGCGGUGAAAUGCGUAGAUAUCAGGAAGAACACCGGUGGCGAAGGCGCUCUGCUAGGCCAAAACUGACACUGAGGGACGAAAGCU
rnacentral:rRNA from 1 species